UUCCGUUCAGUCACUAGAUAGGAUUAUUUAAAAUAAGGGGUGGAAAAGAGAAUGAAAAGAGCACAGGGAGGCAGUGCUGCUAUUGAUUGUCAGCUGGUGUACACAGCCCAUUACCCUUUUGGAGACAGCCUAACAAACUCCUUUAGUGAUUGGAAGAAUGUGCAGCUAAUCUGAAUAUAUUGCUUUUACUUUCAUUUGUUAUGUGCACCGGAUACCACCCCAUCAUAGACAGAGACUGGAUCCAUCAAAUUUAUUACAGUUCAUAGCAACAACUGUCAAUACCUAGAAAUCAGACAGGAAGCUUUCCAGAAGCUCAAAGUGUCUCCCAAAUUAUUGAAAGAACUGUAAAGGUUAAUGUUUUACACAUUUUCCAUGUUUAUUCAUUUGAAGAGUUGGAUGUUUGGGUGGUUUAAAAAAAAAAAAAGCUUUAGAAAAAAUCAAAAGGAAACCCUAGAAGUCUUCAAAGAAACACAGCUACUACCAAAUAUAAACCAGCACUAUAAAACAGUCACAAUCACAUAAUUUAAAAAUUGUUUUUCAUGUAACUGAGCUACACUACAAUAAAUAUUCUGGACAGUAGAUGUCCUAAUUGUAACUUGGCAACACCUUUUGGCUGCACCAACACAUUUAAAUGAAGUGUCAGACAGUUAUUGGGUAAAAUCCACCUUAUAUGGCAAAGAAAAUACUUCAAUUUGAGAUGUGCAAUAAGCAAAAACCACAUAAUAUUAGGUUUUGCUUUUGAGAUAAAAUAAACAUACAAAAUGUGAAUCUGAUAAAAGUUCCACAGCUGUCGGGUUAAGUUUCUUUAAGAAAAUAUUUGUGACAUUUUCCUCGUCUUAAUGACAUGGACAGGUAGAAAGAUCCCUGAACUGUGUUAAUGUGGUAUUCCCAGCCAGGGAAUUUAUCAUUAAAGCUGGUAAAUUAAUUCACAAAACAAAAAUAACAAGACUGCUAGGGAGAUCAAAGAUAACCUCCAUCGCCGAUCAGUGUUGGAAAGGCAAGUCCAUCACACUGUGUUAACACAAAGGUCAGAUAAGCCCUUUUUUAUACAAACAAUAGGCAAAAGUGCUCUGAGACUGAGAGCCCAUAAACCUGAGACAAUAUCUAAAAACGGAUUCAAAUUUUCUCCAGGUACCAUCCAACCGACUAAUCAAUCCUCUCCAGACACAAGUUUUGUUGGCCAAAUAAGUGCAAACAACAAUUUUAUUUACUCUAUUGUAAGGGAGAAAAAGGUAGAGCAUAAGGAAGUGCUACAAGUCACAGCAUAUGAAGUAUAAAUAACCUUAGGUUUUAGAAAAUAUAAGCCAGGGAACUGAGCAUUUCUGGAUAACAAACACAAGGGCUCAUUUUAGACAAAUGCAUGCAGAAAGUCUUAAAAUAACUGACAGUCUUACUUUGUAGUUCUACUUCUCUGUUUUUCCAAGAUAUUUUGGAAACUUUUGAAAUCUGUCUUUUCUGUGGAGAAUAAAUUUCAGUUGCAAGAAAAAAUUUAUUCCACUAUUUUCUUUUAAUAACAAGAGACAAGCUGCAGUGUAUUAAGAGUAACAGGUUAUCAUUUUCUACAAUUAUCCAAUAUAUCAAAGAGAAUUUAAGUGGGUUAAAAAUAUCACGGAACUAAACAAUCACUCAAAGUUUGAGAACUUCUUGCUUCUGGAAAAUGCCAGAGAUGCCAAAACAGCUUACACAAGUCAGAAGCAAAAAUUCAAUGAAUUUUUUCUUGAUACUGACACUGUAACAAAGAAAGAGUCAGAUUUCUUGACUGAUGGAUUCCAGAAAUACAGGGAAACAAAAGGUAUUUGAAUACAGAUCAUCAAAUUAUAUUAAAAAAUCAAUUAAAAUAUAUGUCAGAGUUGGAUCUAGACUGCAGACAAAGAUUUGAGGGUGAGGAAAACUGGGAGGGUAAGAUAUACCAUGUGUUUAUCUGAACCUAAACAUGCAAAAUAAAUUCACGUCUGGUAUUUCCAUCUACUAAUACAACUCCAGUCUAAAGCUCACGACAAAUUCACAGUAGUCAGCGCAUGUUAAAUGAAAAAGUUUCUGCUCUAUACAUUGAACUGACUACAUCCCUCCACCCAAAUACCUGCAAGUGUUGUUAACUAAAGCAAAGCAUGCCCUGAAAAGGGAAUUACUGUUACUGGAUCUGAGCAAGGCCACUGGGAUCUUUUGUUUUGAAUCAAACCUAAAUUAAACCAUACAAGUGGACCAUAGUAUGAUGUUCAUUUCAAAUACCUACAGAUUCUAGAUCUUAAUUCAGAAUACAAUACAUUAUAUAAGAAGAUAUUAAACAUGCAGCUUUUGGACCAUACAUCCUUUGAUUGCCAGGUUAUACUCAGUAAUUAAAGCUGGUAAACCCUAUCAGCUGAGAUAACCAGGAUCGGGGGCCUGGUGGGAAAAGGAAACUCUCUACUGUGAGCUUUUCCCUUCCUAUCCUUUCUGGUCAUGUCUUUGCAGCUAAACAGUUCUCUCUUUCAGUAAGUCACAUGACAGAUGCUAGCUGUUAACCCAAUUGAAACUAUUUUUCUUUCCUUUCCAGUACAUUCCAAUCAGCAGCAUGAACCACAAAGAAUGCCCAGCGAUUGGGAGCAGGAGCCCUAACAGUCUAUUGCUCUGGAUUCCAAGAUUCCUCUCAUAUCAUCUUAUUAAUAAAACUGUCAGUCACAAGA